GCCAGCAGCCGCGGUAAUACGUAGGGUGCAGGCGUUAAUCGGAAUUACUGGGCGUAAAGCGUGCGCAGGCGGUUUCUUAAGUCAGAUGUGAAAGCCCCGGGCUUAACCUGGGAACUGCGUUUGAAACUGGGAGACUUGAGUGUGGCAGAGGGGGGUGGAAUUCCACGUGUAGCAGUGAAAUGCGUAGAUAUGUGGAGGAACACCGAUGGCGAAGGCAGCCCCCUGGGUCAACACUGACGCUCAUGCACGAAAGCGUGGGGAGCAAACAGGAUUAGAUACCCUGGUAGUCCACGCCCUAAACUAUGUCAACUGGUUGUCGGGGGAUUGAUUCCCUUGGUAACGAAGCUAACGCGUGAAGUUGACCGCCUGGGGAGUACGGUCGCAAGAUUAAAACUCAAAGGAAUUGACGGGGACCCGCACAAGCGGUGGAUUAUGUGGAUUAAUUCGAUGCAACGCGAAGAACCUUACCCAGACUUGACAUGCGAGUGGUAGGAACCCGAAAGGGAACCGACCCGCAAGGGAGCUCGUACAGGUGUUGCACGGCUGUCGUCAGCUCGUGUCGUGAGAUGUUGGGUUAAGUCCCGCAACGAGCGCAACCCUCGGGGUCUGUUGUACCUCUCAGACCCGACUGCCGAGAGAAACUCGGAGGAAGGUGGGGAUGACGUCAAGUCAGCGUGGCCUUUAUGUCUGGGGCAACACGCACGCUACAAUCGCCGGUCACAGCGGGUCGCGACAACGCAAGUUGAAGCUAAUCCCUUAAAACCGGCGUCAGUUCAGAUCGGAGGCUGCAACUCGCCUCCGUGAAGUCGGAGUUGCUAGUAACCGCAGGUCAGCACACUGCGGUGAAUAUGUUCCCGGGCCUUGUACACACCGCCCGUCACGUCAUGGGAGUCGGUAACACCCGAAGCCGGUGGGCCAACCGCAAGGAGGCAGCCGUCGAAGGUGGGACCGGCGACUGGGACGAAGUCGUAACAAGGUAGCCGU
rnacentral:rRNA from 1 species